CCUCCCGGCCGCCUGUACACUUCACACUAUAUAUACUUCCCCUCAAAAUGCCUGUUCAGCAGCAGCAUACCUCCCCUGACCACCACGUAUUGCACAACAGAUUUAUCAUCACGAAUAUAUAUGGAUCGGAUAUUCUUGCUUCUACCCGGCCUGACAAUAUAAUUAGAUAGGUUUUAUUAUUUUCUAUCUUUUGUAAGUUUCCAUUUUGCUGCCCAACACUUUAGUCCAAAUUUUAUUUUCCUCUAUCCACCAUAUAUAUAUAGGUACGGUACGGUUAUCUCUCAUUUCUACUAUCCAUGAUAAAUUUUCCAGGUACAGCUUUCAGCUUUGGAUGGAGUUAUGGAAAUAUAUAGUUGCAAGAUGAUAUCCUUCAUGGCAAUAUAAUGUAAAGCUCUGCCAGAACUAACUUGAAAUAGGUAUACUAUUGCACACUUGAACUGUACGUAUUUCAGAAUAACAGUGAUGAAAGUAAAUUUGGAUGGACGUACCAGUAAGACACCACCGAC